rnacentral:rRNA from 1 species
UACGGGAGGCAGCAGUGGGGAAUAUUGGACAAUGGGCGGAAGCCUGAUCCAGCCAUGCCGCGUGUGUGAAGAAGGCCUUUUGGUUGUAAAGCACUUUAAGCGAGGAGGAGGCUACCUAGAUUAAUACUCUGGGAUAGUGGACGUUACUCGCAGAAUAAGCACCGGCUAACUCUGUGCCAGCAGCCGCGGUAAUACAGAGGGUGCGAGCGUUAAUCGGAUUUUACUGGGCGUAAAGCGUGCGUAGGCGGCUUUUUUAAGUCGGAUGUGAAAUCCCCGAGCUUAACUUGGGAAUUGCAUUCGAUACUGGGAAGCUAGAGUAUGGGAGAGGAUGGUAGAAUUCCAGGUGUAGCGGUGAAAUGCGUAGAGAUCUGGAGGAAUACCGAUGGCGAAGGGCAGCCAUCUGGCCUAAUACUGACGCUGAGGUACGAAAGCAUGGGGA